GACGAACGCUGGCGGCGUGCUUAACACAUGCAAGUCGAACGGGUCUGCCCUGUUUUUUGCGGGGUGGGUCAGUGGCGAACGGGUGAGUAACACGUGAGUAACCUGCCCCUCACUUCUGGAUAACCGCUUGAAAGGGUGGCUAAUACGGGGUGUUCUGGCUGUGCCGCAUGGUGUGGCUGGGAAAGAUUCACUUUUGUGGUGUUUUGGUGGGGGAUGGGCUCGCGGCCUAUCAGCUUGUUGGUGGGGUGAUGGCCUGCCAAGGCUUUGACGGGUAGCCGGCCUGAGAGGGUGGGCGGUAACACUGGGACUGAGAUACGGGCCAGACUCCUGCGGGAGGCAGCAGUGGGGGGUAUUGCACAAUGGGCGGAAGCCUGAUGCAGCGACGUCGCGUGAGGGAUGGAGGCCUUCGGGUUGUGAACCUCUUUCGCCGGUGAAGAAGGUCCUGCUCUUUGUGGUGGGGUUGACGGUAGCCGGGUUAUGAAGCGCCGGCUAACUACGUG
rnacentral:rRNA from 1 species